rnacentral:rRNA from 1 species
GACGAACGCUGGCGGCGCGCCUAACACAUGCAGGUCGAACGAGCGAGAGAGAGCUUGCUUUCUCGAGCGAGUGGCGAACGGGUGAGUAACGCGUGAGGAACCUGCCUCAAAGAAGGGGACAACAGUUGGAAACGACUGCUAAUACCGCAUAAGCCCACGACCCGGCAUCGGGUAGAGGGAAAAGGAGCAAUCCGCUUUGAGAUGGCCUCGCGUCCGAUUAGCUAGUUGGUGAGGUAACGGCCCACCAAGGCGACGAUCGGUAGCCGGACUGAGAGGUUGAACGGCCACAUUGGGACUGAGACACGGCCCAGACUCCUACGGGAGGCAGCAGUGGGGAAUAUUGCACAAUGGGGGAAACCCUGAUGCAGCGACGCCGCGUGGAGGAAGAAGGUCUUCGGAUUGUAAACUCCUGUUGUUGAGGAAGAUAAUGACGGUACUCAACAAGGAAGUGACGGCUAACUACGUG